UACGGAGGGUGCAAGCGUUGUCCGGAUUUACUGGGUUUAAAGGGUGCGUAGGUGGACAGGAAAGUCAGUUGUGAAAUCUUCGAGCUUAACUCGGAAACUGCCAUUGAUACUAUUUUGCUUGAAUACUUUGGAGGUAAGCGGAAUAUGUCAUGUAGCGGUGAAAUGCGUAGAUAUGACAUAGAACACCAAUUGCGAAGGCAGCUUACUACACAGUUAUUGACACUGAGGCACGAAAGCGUGGGGAUCAAACAGG
rnacentral:rRNA from 1 species